rnacentral:rRNA from 1 species
GCAGUAGGGAAUUUUCCACAAUGGGCGCAAGCCUGAUGGAGCGACGCCGCGUGAGGGAUGACGGCCUUCGGGUUGUAAACCUCUUUCGGUAGGGAACAAUGGUAAUGGCGUGAAUAACGCAGUUAUUUGAUGGUACCUAAAGAAGAAGCUUCGGCUAACUCUGUGCCAGCAGCCGCGGUAAUACAGAGGAAGCUAACGUUGUCCGGAUUUACUGGGCGUAAAGGGUUUGUAGGCGGCCAAAUAAGUCAGUUGUGAAAUCGCUCCGCUUAACGGAGCAAUUGCUUCUGAAACUGCUUGGCUUGAGUGCAGGAAGGGUAAAUGGAAUUUCCGGUGUAGCGGUGGAAUGCGUAGAUAUCGGAAAGAACACCAGUGGCGAAGGCGGUUUACUGGCCUGCAACUGACGCUGAAAAACGAAAGCCAGGGGAGCAAACGGGAUUAGAUACCCCAGUAGUCC